rnacentral:rRNA from 1 species
AGUGAACGCUGGCGGUAGGCCUAACACAUGCAAGUCGAACGGCAGCACAGUAAGAGCUUGCUCUUACGGGUGGCGAGUGGCGGACGGGUGAGGAAUACAUCGGAAUCUACUUUUUCGUGGGGGAUAACGUAGGGAAACUUACGCUAAUACCGCAUACGACCUACGGGUGAAAGCAGGGGAUCUUCGGACCUUGCGCGAUUGAAUGAGCCGAUGUCGGAUUAGCUAGUUGGCGGGGUAAAGGCCCACCAAGGCGACGAUCCAUAGCUGGUCUGAGAGGAUGAUCAGCCACACUGGAACUGAGACACGGUCCAGACUCCUACGGGAGGCAGCAGUGGGGAAUAUUGGACAAUGGGCGCAAGCCUGAUCCAGCCAUACCGCGUGGGUGAAGAAGGCCUUCGGGUUGUAAAGCCCUUUUGUUGGGAAAGAAAAGCAGCAGGUUAAUACCCCGCUGUUCUGACGGUACCCAAAGAAUAAGCUCCGGCUAACUUCGUG